GGAGGGUGCAAGCGUUAUCCGGAUUCACUGGGUUUAAAGGGUGCGUAGGUGGGCAGGUAAGUCAGUGGUGAAAUCUCUGGGCUUAACCCGGAAACUGCCAUUGAUACUAUUUGUCUUGAAUACCGUGGAGGUCAGCGGAAUAUGUCAUGUAGCGGUGAAAUGCUUAGAUAUGACAUAGAACACCAAUUGCGAAGGCAGCUGGCUACACGAAUAUUGACACUGAUGCACGAAAGCGUGGGGAUCAAACAGGAUUAGAUACCCUGGUAGUCCACGCCCUAAACGAUGGAUACUCGACAUACGCGAUAUACUGUGUGUGUCUGAGCGAAAGCAUUAAGUAUCCCACCUGGGAAGUACGAUCGCAAGAUUGAA
rnacentral:rRNA from 1 species